rnacentral:rRNA from 1 species
GACCCUGGCGGCAGGCCUACACAUGCAAGUCGAGCGAGACCUUCGGGUCUAGCGGCGGACGGNUGAGUAACGCGUGGGAACGUACCCUUUUCUGCAGGAUAGCCACUGGAAACGGUGAGUAAUACUGCAUACGCCCUUCGGGGGAAAGAUUUAUCGGAGAAGGAUCGGCCCGCGUUAGAUUAGGUAGUUGGUGGGGUAAUGGCCUACCAAGCCUACGAUCUAUAGCUGGUUUGAGAGGAUGAUCAGCCACACUGGGACUGAGACACGGNCCAGACUCCUACGGGAGGCANCAGUGGGGAAUCUUAGACAAUGGGGGCAACCCUGAUCUAGCCUGCCGCGUGAGUGAUGAAGGCCUUAGGGUCGUAAAGCUCUUUCGCUGGGGAAGAUAAUGACCGGUACCCAGUUAAGAACCCCGGCUACUUCGUGCCAGCNGCCCNCGUAAUACGGANGGGGUNGCGUGUUCGGAAUACUGGGCGUAACCGCGCUNGGCGAUAAAAAGU